rnacentral:piRNA from 1 species
UCUGAUAGGGGCUUCAAGUUAUACU